rnacentral:rRNA from 1 species
UGAGGAAUAUUGGGCAAUGCCCGCAAGGGUGACCCAGCAACGCCGCGUGGAGGAUGAAUGUCGUAAGAUUGUAAACUCCUGUUAGAGGGGAAGAAUAGUACCGGUUGGAACGGUAUAUGACUGUACCCUCAGAGAAAGCCCCGGCUAACUACGUGCCAGCAGCCGCGGUAAUACGUAGGGGGCAAGCGUUGUCCGGAUUUACUGGGUGUAAAGGGCGCGCAGGCGGGAUAAAAAGUCAGUGGUGAAAUCCUACAGCUUAACUGUAGAACUGCCUUUGAUACUUUUAUUCUUGAGUUCGGGAGAGAGAGACGGAAUUCCAGGUGUAGUGGUGAAAUACGUAGAUAUCUGGAAGAACACCAGUUGCGAAGGCGGUCUCUUGGUCCGACACUGACGCUGAGGCGCGAAAGCGUGGGGAGCAAACA